CAGCGCUUAACGGGUGCCGUCG
rnacentral:miRNA from 1 species